rnacentral:tRNA from 1 species
GGCCCUAUCGUCUAGCCUGGUCUAGGACACAGGAUUCUCAAUCCUGGAACCGGGGUUCAAAUCCCCGUGGGGUCA